rnacentral:rRNA from 1 species
UGCCAGCCGCCGCGGUAACACGUAGGGGGCAAGCGUUGUCCGGAUUUACUGGGCGUAAAGAGCUCGUAGGCGGCCUAUUAAGUGUGAAGUGAAAUCUCCAGCGCUCAACGCGGAAACUGCUUUGCAAACUGAUAGGCUAGAGGAAUGUAGAGGUGAAUAGAAUUCCAGGUGGACCGGUGACAUGGUUAGAUAUCUGGAGGAAUACCGAUGGCGAAGGCAGUUCACUGGACAUUUCCUGACGCUGAGGAGCGAAAGCGUGGGUAGCAAACAGGAUUAGAUA